UACAUUUUUCAGGGUCAAAUAACUGCUAGCAAUCUCCUGCCAAAAAUUAAUGAAGCUGCUCAAAAGGAUUCUGUGAUACUACAGGCUGAAGAAAAAGAGGCAAAGCAGAAGUUUACUGAUGAAAAUGCCUUAGAUGAAGAAGAAUUUGAUAUAUUAAUGAUGGAGAACCCAGAAUUAUUAAGUCACCCUGCUACACCAACAUCAAGGAAGAAUUCUGUGAAAAAAGUUGAAGACGAUGAUACCAUAUCCGGUUCAGAUGAUGACAGUACAACUGUGAAAACACGUCCAUUGAGAGUUGCUAAGAGUAAAACUAAGGUCACAGGAGUAAGAGAAAGAAGAAAGAAGAUUUUAAAGUAGAAAGAAAAAUAAUCCAGUUUUCAGUUUUAAACCAAGAUUUCAUUUUUGUUAUUACAUUCAAUUGUAAUUAUGACAUCUUGGAAAGUGUUUACAUUUGUGAUAAAUAGGUAUAUAUUUUUUUUCCUUGGAGUCGUUUUAUAAGGAUUACGUUUCUUAUAUGGAGAGUCCUUAGUUUCAUAACAUUAUGAAGGUCCACUUGAAUGCUAUACACUAAUUUUGUACCUUGUCUUCUCAUAAAAUUUGUAAUCUUAAUUGUAUAUAUAUAUGUGUGUGUGUGUGGUGACUGAUAUAAGAUAUUUGUGUGUGCAUACCGAACUUGAGCUUUCUUACAAAAUAUAUAUUUAUUAUGACAUACUUUGUAUUAUAAAACUUUUGAAUACUCUUAAAUUUAUUUAAUGUAUCAAAGUUAACAUUGUAGUUAUUCAUCCACGUAAUGUGACAAACAUAUCACUUUGUCUAAUACUUUAAGUUCGGGAAGGAAUGUUUUUAUAAUAAAUAUUCAGUUUUACGACCGCCGCUUAUUUUCAGUUCUGGUUGCAUAAUGAGAAUGCUGAAGUAUUAUGAUAUGCGAAUAAAUUACUCUUUUAUUUUAUAGCCCCCUUUUAAAUGAUAAAGAGUAUAUAUAGAAAUAUUUUCAAGUUCAAUUGUGGACUGACUUACUCCCUAAUGUGCUUCAUAAAUUGUAGACUUUUUCAGCACAUAAAACUAGUCUUUUUAUAGUUUCAGGGUGUGGUUUUAAAUUUUUAAGAAAUCUGUCUUUAACAGCAAUUUUCUAAAACAUUGUAAAAUAUAGAGAUCUCAUUCGUGUUAGGAUUUUCUCAUUAGAUAGUGAAGUAAAUUUUAAAUGCAGGUUUGUGUGUGUGUAUUUUAGUUUAUUACUCUUUUAAUAGAAGACAUGUUCUGUUUUUAAUUUUUGCUAUAUGUGAUGUGAAAAAGAUCUCAUAUUUUUAGAUUAAAAAAAUAAUAUUUAGAAAAUGUUUAAAAAAAUAAUGUAAGUUUUGUGAGAGAUGUUAUUUAAUUUUGUGUUGAAUUAAACUCCAUGAAACCUAAACCGAUUUUUGUAAGUUCCUAUCCACCUCAGUUUCAUAAGUAUUUGAAAUAAAUUUUUGGAAAAUGUCAAA